rnacentral:misc_RNA from 1 species
UUUUGCGUUGGUCUCGUCGCUCGCUCGCUCCUACUCCUCCAUGGCCACGCUGGCCUUCAGACGGGUGGGACGGGGGGGUGGACGGGGUGCGUUGGUCGGCAUCGUGUGCUCCGGGUGGGUCCUCCCCCGGGCGGCGAGCGCCUUCCCGGGGAAGCAACAGGGAUGUGUACGCGGGGAGUGGGUUGUUAGGCGCCGCGGCGGGCGCGGCGCCCCCCACCCGAGCCAGCCCGGGCAAUACCGAGGGCGCCGGUGGGGCUUUUUGUAAUGAUCCUUCCGCAGGUUCACCUACGGAAA